rnacentral:rRNA from 1 species
UGCGCAGGUGGGAAUGUAAGUCAGUGGUGAAAUACUGCCGCUUAACGGUAGAACUGCCAUUGAUACUGCGUUUCUUGAGUAUGGUUGAGGUAGGUGGAAUGUGUUGUGUAGCGGUGAAAUGCAUAGAUAUGACACAGAACGCCGAUUGCGAAGGCAACUUACUAAGCCAUUACUGACGCUGAGGCACGAAAGCGUGGGUAGCGAACAGGAUUAGAUACCCUGGUAGUCCACGCUGUAAACGAUGUUCACUCGCUGUUUGCGAUACACAGUAAGCGGCUGAGCGAAAGCAUUAAGUGAACCACCUGGGGAGUACGAUCGCAAGGUUGAA